GCGGGAAUAGCUCAGUUGGCUAGAGCGACAGCCUUCCAAGCUGUAGGUCGCGGGUUCGAAUCCCGUUUCCCGCU
rnacentral:tRNA from 1 species